UACGUAGGGGGCUAGCGUUGUCCGGAUUCAUUGGGCGUAAAGGGCGCGCAGGCGGCUCGGAAAGUCGGAUGUGAAAACUCGGGGCUUAACCCCGAGCCUGCAGUGGAUACGGGCAGACUAGAGGUAGGUAGGGGAGAAUGGAAUUCCCGGUGUAGCGGUGAAAUGCGCAGAUAUCGGGAGGAACACCGGUGGCGAAGGCGGUUCUCUGGGCCUUACCUGACGCUGAGGAGCGAAAGCGUGGGGAGCGAACAGG
rnacentral:rRNA from 1 species